GCUUUCCAUUACCCUGUCUUCCAGAUCACUGCUCCAUUCUUCCGCAUUCUCUAAUCUGCUAUUGAUUCUCUCUAGUGUAUUUUUUAUUUCAGCUGUUGUAUUCUUCAGCUCUGAUUCUUUUUUAUAUUUUCUCUCUCUUUGUUGAAGUUCUCACUGAGCUCGUAUGCUUCUCUCAAAUCUGGUUUAACAUCUUAAUGACCGUUACCUUGUACUCUUUAUCAUAUAGAUUCCUUAUCUCUUUCAUAGUUCUCUUUCUGAGGUUUUGUCUUGUUCUUUUGUUUGGAACAUACUCUUCUGUUUCCUGAUUUUGUCUGACUCUGUGUUGUUUCUGUAUAUUAGGUAGGUCUGGUCUCCUGAUGUUUAAAGUAACGGCCUUAUGUAGAAGGUGUCCCAUGGGGCCCAGUAUCACAGUCCUCUGUACCAGUACCAGAACCAGGUGCUUUUCCAAACUGCUGUCUUUGUGUUGGAUCUCAGACGAAGUGAUACAGUGCUCUGGCCCUUUGAGUGGAGUCUUGGUUUCUUAUAGCCUUCUGGCUCUCUUGGAGUUAAGGUCCAGUUCCAAUUCCGUAUUUUACAUGAAGCCCAACCACUCCAGUUUUAGCUUUGGAAACUGCCACAUAACUAAGGACUGUAUCUCCUAGUCUCCCUUGAAAGUGUGGCCAUAUGACUACAUUCUGACUGAUGGGCUGUAAGUGGAAAUGAUGGCUGCAACUUCUAUGGCAUGUCCUUAAGAGGAAAAGGUAGACAGAACAAACGGUAUUUAUAGUUUAAAAAAAUUUAACACAGGUUGCCAGGCUGCUUUGCAAAUAGGUUGAAAAAGUUCACCUUUCUACCAGCAAUGUAAAACAAUACCUUUCACCUGAAUCCUCACUAGCAAGAGGUCAUUUAAAAUUUUGCCCAUGGGCGCCUGGGUGGCUCAGUUGGUUAAGCGACUGCCUUCGGCUCA